rnacentral:rRNA from 1 species
AAUUUGCCNAAUCCCCUUGAGUUGAUCAUGGCUCGGACGAACGCUGGCGGCGCGCUUAACACAUGCAAGUCGAACGGGGUCCUUCGGGGCCCAGUGGCGAACGGGUGCGUAACACGUGAGCAACCUGCCCGGUGGUGGGGGAUAACCAGUGGAAACGCUGGCUAAUACCGCAUGAGCUCAUCUGCUCGAGUGGGUGGAUGAGGAAAGCUCCUGCAAGGGAGUGCUACCGGAGGGGCUCGCGGCGUAUCAGCUAGUUGGAGGGGUAACGGCCCACCAAGGCGAUGACGCGUAGCCGAUCUGAGAGGAUGAUCGGCCACAUUGGGACUGAGAUACGGCCCAGACUCCUACGGGAGGCAGCAGUGGGGAAUCUUGCGCAAUGGGCGAAAGCCUGACGCAGCGACGCCGCGUGCGGGAGGAAGCUUUUCGGAGUGUAAACCGCUGUCAGAGGGGAAGAAAUGUCCCGGGAGGAAAUGCCUGGGAUUUGACGGUACCCUCAAAGGAAGCACCGGCUAACUCUGUGCCAGCAGCCGCGGUAAUACAGAGGGUGCGAGCGUUGUUCGGAAUUACUGGGCGUAAAGCGCGCGCAGGCGGCCCUUUAAGUCUGUCGGUCAAACGCCGGGGCUCAACCCCGUGCUCGCCGGAGAUACUGGAGGGCUGGAGACAGGUAGAGGCAGGCGGGAUUCCGGGUGUAGCGGUGGAAUGCGUAGAGAUCCGGAAGAACACAGAGGCGAAGGCGGCCUGCUGGGGCUUGUCUGACGCUGAGGCGCGAA